rnacentral:rRNA from 1 species
CCUACGGGAGGCAGCAGUGGGGAAUCUUUCACAAUGGGGGAAACCCUGAUGCAGCGACGCCGCGUGGGUGACGAAGGAUUUCGGUAUGUAAAGCCCUAUCAGCAGGGAAGAAGAUGACAGUACCUGACUAAGAAGCCCCGGCUAACUACGUGCCAGCAGCCGCGGUAAUACGUAGGGGGCAAGCGUUAUCCGGAUUUACUGGGUGUAAAGGGAGCGUAGGUGGCAUGGCAAGCCAGAAGUGAAAACCCGGGGCUUAACCCUGCCGAUUACUUUUGGAACUGUCAGGCUGGAGUGCAGGAGGGGCAAGCGGAAUUGCUGGUGUAGGGGUGAAAUGCGUAGAUAUCAGGAGGAACACCGGUGGCGAAGGCGGCCUGCUGGGCUGUAACUGACACUGAGGCACGAAAGCGUAGGGAGCAAACAGGAUUAGAUACCCGGGUAGUC